rnacentral:rRNA from 1 species
UACGUAGGGUGCAAGCGUUGUCCGGAAUUAUUGGGCGUAAAGAGCUCGUAGGCGGUUUGUCGCGUCUGCUGUGAAAAUCCAGGGCUUAACCCUGGACCUGCAGUGGGUACGGGCAGACUAGAGUGCGGUAGGGGAGAUCGGAAUUCCUGGUGUAGCGGUGAAAUGCGCAGAUAUCGGGAAGAACACCCGUGGCGAAGGCGGCUCUCUGGAACGCAACUGACGCUGAGACGCGAAAGCGUGGGGAGCAAACAGG